rnacentral:rRNA from 1 species
AUGUAUAUUCCUACAUCAUAGUGUUAAUGCACUGAAUCCCAUUAGAACUCUACAGUCAAGUGUGCUCAUGCUAGAGUAGUACUAGGAUGGGUGACCGCCCGAGAAGUUCUAGUGUUUUACAUG